AACGAACGCUGGCGUCAGGCUUAACACAUGCCAGUCGAGCGCCCCGCAAGGGGAGCGGCAGACGGGUGAGUAACGCGUGGGAAUCUACCCAUCUCUACGGAAUAACGCAUGGAAACGUGUGCUAAUACCGUAUACGUCCUUCGGGAGAAAGAUUUAUCGGUGAUGGCUGAGCCCGCGUUGGAUUAGCUAGUUGGUGGGGUAAAGGCCUACCAAGGCGACGCUCCAUAGCUGGUCUGAGAGGAUGAUCAGCCACACUGGGACUGAGACACCGCCGCGGCCACGAACGGGAGGCAGCGAUGGAGAAUAUUGUACAAGGGGCGCAAACCUGAUCCAGCCAUGCCGCGUGAGUGAUGAAGGCCCUAGGGUUGUAAAGCUCUUUCACCGGUGAAGAUAAUGACGGUAACCGGAGAAGAAACCCCGGCUAACUUCGUGCCAGCAGCCGCGGUAACAC
rnacentral:rRNA from 1 species